rnacentral:rRNA from 1 species
UGCAAGUCGAACGAGAAAGCUCCCUUCGGGGAGCCGGUACAGUGGCGCACGGGUGAGUAACACGUGGGUAAUCUGUCCUUGAGUGGGGAACAACCCAGGGAAACUUGGGCUAAUACCGCAUAACAUCCCGACCUCUCCGGAGGAUGGGAUCAAAGCUGGGGAUCGCAAGACCUGGCGCUUGAGGAGGAGCCUGCGGCUGAUUAGCUUGUUGGUGGGGUAACGGCCUACCAAGGCGACGAUCAGUAGCCGGCCUGAGAGGGCGAUCGGCCACACUGGAACUGAGACACGGUCCAGACUCCUACGGGAGGCAGCAGUGAGGAAUUUUGCGCAAUGGGCGAAAGCCUGACGCAGCAAUGCCGCGUGGAUGAUGAAGGCCUUCGGGUCGUAAAAUCCUGUCAAGUGGGAAGAAACCCCCUCCGUUAAUAGCGGCAGGGGGGUGACUGUACCACUGGAGGAAGCCCCGGCUAACUCCGUGCCAGCAGCCGCGGUAAUACGGAGGGGGCAAGCGUUGUUCGGAAUUAUUGGGCGUAAAGGGCGCGUAGGCGGCACUGUAAGUCGGUUGUGAAAUCCCUUGGCUCAACCAAGGAACUGCAACCGAAACUACAGAGCUAGAGUCCGGGAGAGGGUAGUGGAAUUCCCAGUGUAGCGGUGAAAUGCGUAGAUAUUGGGAGGAACACCAGUGGCGAAGGCGGCUACCUGGACCGGUACUGACGCUGAGGCGCGAAAGCUAGGGGAGCAAACAGGAUUAGAUACCCUGGUAGUCCUAGCUGUAAACGAU